rnacentral:rRNA from 1 species
UACGUAGGGAGCAAGCGUUGUCCGGAAUCAUUGGGCGUAAAGCGCGCGUAGGUGGCCUCAUAAGUCCGUUGUGAAAGUCAAAGGCUCAACCUUUGAAAGCCGAUGGAUACUGUGAGACUAGAGUACGGAAGAGGCGAGUGGAAUUCCUGGUGUAGCGGUGGAAUGCGUAGAUAUCAGGAGGAACACCGGUGGCGAAGGCGGGUCUCUGGGCAGUAACUGACGCUGAGGAGCGAAAGCGUGGGGAGCGAACAGG